rnacentral:misc_RNA from 1 species
AGCGUUAAAUCCCGGGUGUUGAACAAGCCCGUAGCCACUUCUUUAUAGUAAAUUGUGCGAUCUUUUUGAAAUCUAGCUUAUAAAUCCUGGAUGUUUACCGAAAUUGUUUCUUCAUUCUCUCGUUCUGCG